GAUGUUAUGGCUCAGUGGAAGAACACGUGGUUGGCAUGCAGAAGGCUCCCGGUUCAAGCCCCGGUGUCUUCA
rnacentral:tRNA from 1 species